rnacentral:rRNA from 1 species
GACGAACGCUGGCGGCGUGCUUAACACAUGCAAGUCGAACGGAAAGGCCCUGCUUUUGUUGGGUGCUCGAGUGGCGAACGGGUGAGUAACACGUGAGUAACCUGCCCUUGACUUUGGGAUAACUUCAGGAAACUGGGUCUAAUACCGGAUAGGAUCUCCUGCUGCAUGGUGGGGGUUGGAAAGUUUCGGCGGUUGGGGAUGGACUCGCGGCUUAUCAGCUUGUUGGUGGGGUAGUGGCUUACCAAGGCUUUGACGGGUAGCCGGCCUGAGAGGGUGACCGGCCACAUUGGGACUGAGAUACGGCCCAGACUCCUACGGGAGGCAGCAGUGGGGAAUAUUGCACAAUGGGCGGAAGCCUGAUGCAGAAACGCCGCGUGCGGGAUGACGGCCUUCGGGUUGUAAACCGCUUUCGCCUGUGACGAAGCGUGAGUGACGGUAAUGGGUAAAGAAGCACCGGCUAACUACGUG